rnacentral:sRNA from 1 species
UAUAUAUAUAUAUAUAUUUACAAUUAUUGUAACCCUACGAACUUUUAAUUUCCGGGAACCGGGAAAUAUUUGGCUUAAAACAUGUGCGGUACCAAUUAAUUAGAACAAGCGGUUAAUUUAAUUAACCAAAACAUUCCGUCUAUAACCAUUUUAUUAUAUAAAUUUAUAUUAGUAUUAUUCCAACAAUUAUGCAAUUCUUGCUUAUUUUAUACGUUAUUAUAAAAUUUAAAUAUAAUAUAUAAAUAUAUAAUCUUCUCUUCGCAAAUUGUAAACCUCUAUAUAUUACUAAACCAUACCAUUUUAUUUAUAUUAGUUUUUUUUAACCCACGGCUAUUUCCCGCAAAGAAAAACAAUUCUUUAUAACGGGCAAUUGUGUUAUAUUUAAUCGAAAAUAAAAUUCCAAGACGUGUUAUAAAUACGUUAUCCGGGCUUGGAUUAUAUUUAUUAUAUAAAAAUACCAAACAGCAAAUUUAAUAUUUCGUCGCCGUUGUUAAAAUAGGUAAUUAAUAUAAUAUAUAUUUAUAUCCAAUUUUAUAAUAAUAGUAAAAUACCAAUAUAAAAACCCUUAUAAAAUCGCCCGUAACCUAAUAUUGUUUUUCGUAUAUAAUAAUUAUAAUUCUUUUACUUUUUUAUAUUAAUUUCAAAUUUCGAGAAUUAUUCGCAAACCAAAUAAUAUAUUACCGUACUUUUCCAUUACAAAUAAUUUUAAGCGCCAGCAUUUUUAUAAUAUCCGGACAAUUAUUAUAUUUUCCACCAAAUUUGUAAUUAUUCUUUUUCCAAUUAUUAUUAUUAGCCCGAUAUAAUUUCGCAAUAUUUUAUAUUCGCACGCGUUAUAUUAAAGGUCCCAUUUUAUCCAAACCCCUGUUACUGUAAAAAACGCGGGGAAAUAUGCAAAUAUUAUCCAAAUUUAUAAAAUAUUUUUUAAAUAUUUCCUAAAAUUGCAAUCUACCAAUUUUACUUGUUUAUUUAUUUUGCGUUUCGUUUAUAAAAAUUAAAAAACCAUGUUAUAUAUUCGUACCAUUUAGGUGAUUUAUAUUAAAUUAUUCCAACUGUUUGACAAAAAACAAUAAAUAUUACCUAUACCUGGAUAUUUAAAUAUGGAAUUUAAUUUUAUUAACCAUUUUUGCCAAGCGUAUAUAUUUAUUAUAUUUAUAAAUACAAUAGGGCUAGGGAAAAAUAGCAAUUUAUAAAAAGAUAAAAAAUGUUUUUUAAAGUUUUACGGCUUUUACAAAAUAUAUUUUAUUCCUGCAUAUUAUAUAUUAUAAUUGCUAUUUUCAUCCAAAUUAAUUUAUUGGAAAAAAACUAUAUUUUCAAGGAAAUAUUAAACCAAACUUUUUCAGAAAUAUUACCAAAUAUAUAUGCGUUUAUAAUAUACCAAAUUCAUAAUAAUAUAUUCCCCGGUUAAAUUAAUUUAUUAAUGGGUCUUAAAUUAUAAAAUAACGAUCCUAAUAUUAACAUUAUUUUCCGCACGCAACGUUGUUAUUUGCAAAUAAUUAACAUUUUAUAAAUUAUUCUUAGCGCGUUUUAUUAAUAGAAUUACAAUAUAUUAGAAAUUAUAAUACCGCAAUUGGUUUUAUUUUUUUACGGUUACAAAAUAAAAAACUGCGGCCCAAAUAUAUUUUACUUAAUUUGGUUAUUGCGUCCAAAAAUUAUAAAUCGGCCGUUGCGAACGGAAAUUUAAAGAUUAACCUUUCUAAGAUGUAUUCCGGCGGGGAACGGAUUUGAACCGGCAAAUUGGGUAAUAAAAUAUAUUAAUAAGAAUUUCGUUAUAAAUAUUAAAAAUAACCGCAAUCUCGCAAGCGAUUUAAGAAAAUAUUUUAUAAAUUGCGCCAUUUUGGAGCCUAUCGCGAAUACGUUGCGUAAAACUUUGGAAAACUUUGCACAAUUUUGCAAUAAUAGCAAAUAUAAUAUAGUACUAACAAACAAUAAUAUUAUAUAUUACGCGUAUUUAUUAUUUGAAAAUAAUUGGAAAAACGGGGAAAACGAAAUGUUAUUUUUAUUUAAUUUCGACGGCCCUAACUUCUUUUAUUUGGGUAUAUAAAAGUUAAUCGGCGACAAAUUACAUGUUUUUCACCAAGAAACUAUAUAAUCCGAAGAUAUAUUAUAUUAGGUGGAUAUUAGAAUGUCGCGAAAUAUAUAAAAAAGGGAAUAGCUGACCAAAUGGAUUAAAUAUUAACAAAAUAAUAAAUAUUAAAGGAAAAUUAGCCUACGGAAUACAUAAAACUUCAAUAGAAGAAAUAUUAUAAAUUUCAACAAAAUUAAUAUAAUUGGACCCCAGAAACAAUAAUAAAAAGCUGGCAAAUCUUUAUUUGAAAUAGGGCGCAAUUAAAAAAUAUUGCAUUAUUUUUUUCGCCGCCAGUAAGUAAUAAUAAUAACCUAAAAUUAACGCGCAAAAUAGGGAAUGUAUUAUAUUGCAAUUGAAGUUUUUAUAUAUAACCGACCCGCCAUUACCACCAAUUUUUACGCCAGUAAUUUUAUAUUGUUUUAAUUAAUUAUUUUACUAUAGUCCCAAACAAUAAAUUCAAAAAUAAUCCUAAUAACAACCGUCGUUAUAUUAAUAUAUUUAUACAAACCCGUAAAAUAAAACCGCAAAAGAAAUAAACGUUAAUUGGGAAAAAGAAAUAUAUUUGGUAAUAAGCAAUUUUCUUUUUCGGAAUGGGAUUAUUAACAUUAUAUUUCUUUUGCAAACUGGGGUGUGGGCAAAUAGUUUAAAAAUUCUAUCGGGCCUAUUUUCGACCUCGAAUAAAUCGGAUAUUUAAGUUUUUUAAAUAAGUCCAACGCCCAUUUUUAUAAACGUUUUAAAAUUUAAUAAAAGAAUUCGAUAUUUAUAAUUAUAAGAUUAUUAUUAUAUUUUUCAGCGAUAUUAUUUUAAAAGCGUUUGUUUCCUGGCGUUCAAUUACCUCAAAAUCAAAAUCUUUUAUAAAAGUUCCAAUUAUUCGCAUAUUUGCGGCGGCCUCGUAAAAGCCGCAAUUAUUUUUAACCUAUUUUAUUAAUUUAUUUAUAAAACCCUAAUUUAUAAUAUAAAUAUUAAAAAACGGCAAAUAUAUAUAAUUAGUAUAAUUAGUAAUUAUAUCCCGGCCACCAUUUUGUGUUUAAUAUUAAUAAUUAAUAUAUAUAUAAAAUUUAAUAAUAAAACGAAAACCGACGUUUUUUGAACCACGUCCUUCUUAUCGAAAGAAAUUGGAAUAUCCAAUACAAAUAUUAAUAUAAAACGAAAAUAAAAUUCGCCCAUUCGACGAAUUUUAUUUAAAUAAAACUUAUUU